rnacentral:tRNA from 1 species
GGAAGUGUGCCCGAGCCCACAGGGACUACCUUGAUAGUGUAACCACAGGAUACCAUCCUCACUUCCC